rnacentral:rRNA from 1 species
GAUGAACGCUGGCGGCGUGCCUAAUACAUGCAAGUCGAGCGAACGGACGAGAAGCUUGCUUCUCUGAUGUUAGCGGCGGACGGGUGAGUAACACGUGGAUAACCUACCUAUAAGACUGGGAUAACUUCGGGAAACCGGAGCUAAUACCGGAUAAUAUUUUGAACCGCAUGGUUCAAAAGUGAAAGACGGUCUUGCUGUCACUUAUAGAUGGAUCCGCGCUGCAUUAGCUAGUUGGUAAGGUAACGGCUUACCAAGGCAACGAUGCAUAGCCGACCUGAUAGGGUGAUCGGCCACACGAGAGCUGAGACGCGGUCCAUACUCCUGCGGGAGGCAGCAGUAGGGAAUCUUCCGCAGUGGGCGAAAGCCUGACGGAGCAACGCCACGUGAGUGAUGAAGGUCUUGGGAUCGUGAAACUCUGUUAUGAGGGAAAAACAUAUGUGUAAGUAACUGUGCACAGCUUGACGGUACCUAAUCAGAAAGCCACGGCUAACUACGUG